UACGGAGGGUGCAAACGUUGCUCGGAAUCAUUGGGCGUAAAGCGCACGUAGGCGGUCCCGCUUGUCGGGUGUGAAAGCCCUCGGCUCAACCGAGGAAGUGCAUUCGAAACGGAGGGACUUGAAUACUGGAGAGGGUUGCGGAAUUCCCGGUGUAGAGGUGAAAUUCGUAGAUAUCGGGAGGAACACCAGCGGCGAAGGCGGCAACCUGGACAGAUAUUGACGCUGAGGUGCGAAAGCGUGGGGAGCAAACAGG
rnacentral:rRNA from 1 species